GCCAUGAAUGUGGCCCUAAAAAGAAAAAAAAAAUAAAAUAAAUAAAAUAAAAAUAAAAGAUAAAAAGUUUGGUGGCCACUACUCUAUACGGCAGAGUGAUUUUUAAAAAUACAAAUCUGAUUGUAUUGAUUAGUUAAUACAAUCAAUUAAUUAAUACAAUUAAUUUUUUUUUUUUGGCUUUUUUUUCCUGAGGCACAUGGAAGUUCCCAGGCUAGGGGUCAUAUCAGAGCUUCAGCUGCCAGCCUAUGCCAGAGCCACAGCAACGCGGGAUCCGAGCCACGUCUGCAACCGACACCACAGCUCAUGGCAAUGCCCGAUCGUUAACCCACUGAGCAAGGGCAGGGACCAAACCCACAACCUCAUGGUUCCUAGUUGGAUUCGUUAACCACUGUGCCACAACCGGAACUCCUCUCCGCCCCUCCUUGAAGCCAGGAUUUUCCCCACGUGAAAUCUUCACACCAUCUUCCCUCUGCCUCCACGAAGCUCUAGGUCUUGGGUUCAAUGUUGUUUUCUUCCCUGACACACCCCUGCCCUGGCACAUCUCUCUCCAAUCCAGAAGUUCCUGGUUUAAAUUCUCUCUUAGCGCCCUGCAUUUUCCAUCAUGGCACUUAGCAAAGAGGUGCCUUUACAUCUACACAGUUUAUUUAUUCCAUAUAUUGCUGUAACCUCGGCACCUAAUAAGGGCACAGUAAGUACUGAACAAAAGAAUGAACUAAAAUAUUAACUCUCACUCCCACAUUUACUCCAAAGAGUUAGGGAGUCUGGGUGGAUCUUCAGAGCAUAACCUUGAGAAACUGCUAACCUUUCUGAAGCUCAUCUGCCCCCCACACCUGGACACCCUAGGAUGGGAUCCAAUUAACCACCUUUUGCUCUAGGAGGCUUUUUGAGAUGUCCCUGAACAGUGAGUCCCCAGCCCCUCUGAAGAGCUUUAUUACAGCACUUAGUGAUAAGGAAACCCCUGCUUCCAUCUCUGCUUCUGUGCCAAGGCGGAUGGUCUGGAGGGAUUGGACCUCACUGUUCACCUCUGGGAGCGCUGGGGAGGAGCUGUUUCACAGGCGCUUAAAGAGCUCUGGUGUUGCAAGUUAUUUAAAACAAAAAAGUUUCAGGCUGCUGAAUUUCGAGAUUUCUCAGAAAGUUAAAACCAGCCCUCGGAACAAGGCUGGUGGGGCAUCUUUGUAAGGCUUAUUAUGGUAUAUGCAAUGCUUACACCCACCCUUCUUGAGAACUGGCUUUGUCAAGGGGUGAAAACAGAGGAUGAACAGUCUGCCUGGUUCUGCUUUUUUCUUCUCCCUCCUAGAGAAACUAACCUAAGAGAGCAGGUAACUCAGGGACUGAGCGUCAACCUGGAGCAAACUGCAGAGUGUACUCGGAAGUUGCUUUUGCCCACACAUACAGGGAUGGAAGGAAGAGGUGAAAAAAGGAAGGACGACCUGGACCUCUCUGUGGAAAUGACACAACAUGGAAACAUCAGAGAGUUAGAAAAAUGCUUCCUUGGGAUUUAGGAUGAAUUGAAAACAAGCCCAUUGUUUUUGUGUCGGGACAAGGACCUCAUUCAGAUCACCUGUAGUCACACCUAACGACUUUGUCCCCAAGCAGUGAAGUUGAUGGGGAUGGUAGCUCCCCGUUUCUACACACAGGAGAUUCUUCAUCUUAGCCCCUGAGCUAUUUAACAUUUAAGCUUGGAUCCUAAUAAGGGUUCGACUUGCCGGCCUCAGUACCAAGAACUGCGGUGGAACAGUGACCAUACAAGGGCAGGAAGCCUUCCAGAAGGGAGGGGGGGGCACAGCUUCAGCACAGCCUUAUGUAACCACAAGGGGAGCGAUGCGAAGGGAAAAGCUCCUUCUGCCUUCCUUGAAAAUAUUAAAUUCUAAAAAUGUCUCGAGGACACCUAACAAGCCCAUUUGAAUGGCUGAAGUUAGAAGCGGCAAUAUAAUUAGACCCAGCAAAUCAAUUGAAUCCGAUGGGCUUAUGUGGCUGCACUUUUAAAUAACUUCAGAUACAUGGUGUCCUCCAGAAAUGGUUGUAAAAAUAUAUGUCCAGUACAUUUCAGUAAUAGCAGAAUAAAGGUCAUUUCCUUUU
rnacentral:lncRNA from 1 species